rnacentral:lncRNA from 10 species
UCCUGUAUAUUCUAAAAGUUUAUGUGUUGUUAAUAAAACUCUUUUGGAGAAACCUACAAAAGAAAAAACACACCAUUGAAACUUGUGACAUCUGUGAAAUGUGGUUUAGGAAACCUGGCAGGGCUAGGAGAACUUCAAUAUGAAAGUAAAAAGCAUUUGGGGACUGCUCCGUGACCUGGAAGUUCAGAAGGGAAGGGGUUAAUGGUGACUGGCAGCUCAUUUCAAGUCUUUUUAGCACCCUGUUCCCCUAAAGAGGAGAAGGAAAACGACACAAUUGUCAGACAUUUAAGUUAGUAUUAAAGGUACUGCGUGUGUUCUGAGUAUACACUGGCAAGUACAGCAU